rfam:Austwickia chelonae NBRC 105200 DNA, contig: ATCHE04.
GGCGCACCGACUCCUCCCCCCCGGAGUUAGGCGCGUUGGCAGCCCCCGUUGUCCCCCCAACGGGGGCUGCCCCGU